rnacentral:rRNA from 1 species
UACGGGGGGGGCAAGCGUUGUUCGGAAUUACUGGGCGUAAAGGGCUCGUAGGCGGCCAACUAAGUCAGACGUGAAAUCCCUCGGCUUAACCGGGGAACUGCGUCUGAUACUGGAUGGCUUGAGUUUGGGAGAGGGAUGCGGAAUUCCAGGUGUAGCGGUGAAAUGCGUAGAUAUCUGGAGGAACACCGGUGGCGAAGGCGGCAUCCUGGACCAACACUGACGCUGAGGAGCGAAAGCGUGGGUAGCAAACAGG